AGUGAGCGCUGGCGGUAGGCCUAACACAUGCAAGUCGAACGGCAGCACAGUAAGAGCUUGCUCUUACGGGUGGCGAGUGGCGGACGGGUGAGGAAUACAUCGGAAUCUACUUUUUCGUGGGGGAUAACGUAGGGAAACUUACGCUAAUACCGCAUACGACCUACGGGUGAAAGCAGGGGAUCUUCGGACCUUGCGCGAUUGAAUGAGCCGAUGUCGGAUUAGCUAGUUGGCGGGGUAAAGGCCCACCAAGGCGACGAUCCGUAGCUGGUCUGAGAGGAUAAUCAGCCACACUGGAACUGAGACACGGUCCAGACUCCUACGGGAGGCAGCAGUGGGGAAUAUUGGACAAUGGGCGCAAGCCUGAUCCAGUCAUACCGCGUGGGUGAAGAAGGCCUUCGGGUUGUAAAGCCCUUUUGUUGGGAAAGAAAAGCAGCAGGUUAAUACCCCGCUGUUCUGACGGUACCCAAAGAAUAAGCACCGGCUAACUUCGUG
rnacentral:rRNA from 1 species